rnacentral:misc_RNA from 1 species
CCGAGUUAUCCCAACUCCCAAACCCACUGUGAACCUUACCUCCACGUUGCUUCGGCGGGGUCGCCCCGGGCCGCUCGAGCCCGGAACCAGGCGCCCGCCGGAGGCCCCCAAAACUCUCCAUGUUUCUUCUCUAGCGGAAUACUUCUGAGUGGCCCUCAGCGGCGAAAAAAAAAAUGAAUCA